rnacentral:rRNA from 1 species
GACAGAGGUGCCAAGCGUUUAGGCGGAAUCACUGGGCUUAAAGCGUGUGUAGGCGGGUCGUUAAGUACCUUGUGAAAUCCCCCCGGCUCAACCGGGGAACGGCUGGGUAUACUGGCGAUCUUGAGCCACCUAGGGGCAGUCGGAACAAGUGGUGGAGCGGUGAAAUGCGUAGAUAUCACUUGGAACGCCAAUGGUGAAAACAGACUGCUGGGGGUGUGCUGACGCUGAGACACGAAAGCCAGGGGAGCAAACGGG